rnacentral:rRNA from 1 species
ACUGCUCAGUAACACGUAGUUAACCUAACCUAUGGAUGGGGAUAACCUCGGGAAACUGAGAAUAAUCCCCGAUAGAUCACAAUGCCUGGAAUGGUUUGUGAUUCAAAUGAUUUAUCGCCGUAGGAUGGGACUGCGGCCUAUCAGCUAGUUGGUGAGGUAAUGGCCCACCAAGGCUAUAACAGGUACGGGCUCUGAGAGGAGGGGCCCGGAGAUGGGUACUGAGACACGGACCCAGGCCCUAUGGGGCGCAGCAGGCGAGAAACCUUUGCAAUGUGCGAAAGCACGACAAGGUUAAUCCGAGUGUCUUCUGCUAAAGAAGUCUUUUGUUAGUCAUAGAACCACUGAUGAAUAAGGGGUGGGCAAGUUCUGGUGUCAGCCGCCGCGGUAAAACCAGCACCUCGAGUGGUCAGGAGGUUUAUUGGGCCUAAAGCAUCCGUAGCCGGUUGUUUAAGUUUCCGGUUAAAUCUAUGCGCUUAACGUAUAGGCUGCCGAAAAUACUGGACAGCUAGGGAGUGGGAGAGGUACACGGUACUCAAUAGGAAGGGGUAAAAUCCUUUGAUCUGUUGAUGACCACCUGUGGCGAAGGCGGUGUACCAGAACACGUUCGACGGUGAGGGAUGAAAGCUGGGGGAGCAAACCGGAUUAGAUACCCGGGUAGUCCCAGCUGUAAACGAUGCAAACUCGGUGAUGCAUUGGCUUGUGGCCAAUGCAGUGCCGCAGGGAAGCCGUUAAGUUUGCCGCCUGGGAAGUACGUACGCAAGUAUGAAACUUAAAGGAAUUGGCGGGGGAGCAC